UACGUAGGGUGCAAGCGUUAAUCGGAAUUACCGGGCGUAAAGCGUGCGCAGGCGGUUUUGUAAGUCAGAUGUGAAAUCCCCGGGCUUAACCUGGGAACUGCGUUUGAAACUACAAGGCUAGAGUGUGGCAGAGGGGGGCGGAAUUCCACGUGUAGCAGUGAAAUGCGUAGAGAUGUGGAGGAACACCGAUGGCGAAGGCAGCCCCCUGGGCUAGCACUGACGCUCAGGCACGAAAGCGUGGGGAGCAAACAGG
rnacentral:rRNA from 1 species